UGGGGAAUUUUGGACAAUGGGCGAAAGCCUGAUCCAGCAAUGCCGCGUGUGUGAAGAAGGCCUUCGGGUUGUAAAGCACUUUUGUCCGGAAAGAAAUCCUUGGCUCUAAUACAGUCGGGGGAUGACGGUACCGGAAGAAUAAGCACCGGCUAACUACGUGCCAGCAGCCGCGGUAAUACGUAGGGUGCAAGCGUUAAUCGGAAUUACUGGGCGUAAAGCGUGCGCAGGCGGUUUGCUAAGACCGAUGUGAAAUCCCCGGGCUCAACCUGGGAACUGCAUUGGUGACUGGCAGGCUAGAGUAUGGCAGAGGGGGGUAGAAUUCCACGUGUAGCAGUGAAAUGCGUAGAGAUGUGGAGGAAUACCGAUGGCGAAGGCAGCCCCCUGGGCCAAUACUGACGCUCAUGCACGAAAGCGUGGGGAGCAAACAGGAUUAGAUACCUUGGUAGUCCACGCCCUAAACGAUGUCAACUAGUUGUUGGGGAUUCAUUUCCUUAGUAACGUAGCUAACGCGUGAAGUUGACCGCCUGGGGAGUACGGUCGCAAGAUUAAAACUCAAAUGAAUUGACGGGGUCAUAGCUGUUUCC
rnacentral:rRNA from 1 species